rnacentral:rRNA from 1 species
CUUAAAUUGAAGAGUUUGAUCAUGGCUCAGAUUGAACGCUGGCGGCAGGCCUAACACAUGCAAGUCGAGCGGCAGCGGGAAGAAGCUUGCUUCUUUGCCGGCGAGCGGCGGACGGGUGAGUAAAGUCUGGGGAUCUGCCUGAUGGA